UCCGCUAUAGAAGUUCGGACGGAGUCUGGUUCUUGUAGAAGGCUGAAAGGAGACCGCUUAUUGUAGAAGCUCGAUCGAAGAUCGGUUGUCAUGGGAGCUCGGAGUAGUGACCUGGCCGGUGGAUCCUAUCCCAUUGUAGAAGCUCGUCUGGGAUCCGUCCACUAUAGGAGCUUGGCUGAAGUCUGCCUGUAAUAGAAGUUCGAAAGAAAUGUGUUUACAGUAGAGGCUCGAAUGGAAUUUGCUUACAGUCAAGAUCCGAGGUAGACCGCCCGCUGUAGGAGUUCAGAGUAGAUCGCUCGUAGUAGAAGUUCGGCUCUCGCAGGAGCUCGGUUGGAAUCCUGAAGGCGGUCGACCGCCAUAAAAAUUUGGACGGAGUCUGAUUACUGUAGAAAUCUCAUUGUCGGAGAAGCUCGGAUAUUGAUGAAGUUUGGAAGAAGUUCGAAAAAUAGUUGAUCACUGUAGAAGGUCGAUUGAUAGUGAAGCCCAGAGAGCUUUUGGAGCGGCCCGACAGAUGGAUGGAGAAGCUCAUUGUCAGAGAAGUCCGGAUGGUAUUAUGGAAGCUCGGACGGUCGAGGGGGUUCAGAGAGAUGCUACACAAAAUUGAAAGUCAGAAAAGCCCUGG
rnacentral:lncRNA from 1 species